GCUCGACUCAAGUUUACUUGUGAAUCAUGUAAAAAUUUUUUUUCAGUAUUCACACUUAUUUUGGUCAAAAACUUUCUGAACUUAGUCUCAUGAAUCACAUAGGACUUCUUCUUUUCUAUUAAGAUCAAUAGAUUUUAUCUAAGUGUAUCCCACUCCUAACAGCGAAUCUGAAUCCACUGUAGCCAACAUACACAGCAAAGAUCCGAAUGGCUAGGGACUAAAGGAAUGUGC
rnacentral:lncRNA from 1 species